CAACCCUUGACAUGGCGAUCGCGGGACCAGAGAUGGUUCUUUCAGUUCGGCUGGAUCGCACACAGGUGCUGCAUGGCUGUCGUCAGCUCGUGUCGUGAGAUGUUCGGUUAAGUCCGGCAACGAGCGCAACCCACACUCUUAGUUGCCAUCAUUCAGUUGGGCACUCUAGGAGAACUGCCGGUGAUAAGCCGGAGGAAGGUGUGGAUGACGUCAAGUCCUCAUGGCCCUUACGGGUUGGGCUACACACGUGCUACAAUGGUGGUGACAAUGGGUUAAUCCCAAAAAGCCAUCUCAGUUCGGAUUGGGGUCUGCAACUCGACCCCAUGAAGUCGGAAUCGCUAGUAAUCGCGUAACAGCAUGACGCGGUGAAUACGUUCCC
rnacentral:rRNA from 1 species